GCCGGGCGCGGUGGCGCGUGCCUGUAGUCCCAGCUACUCGGGAGGCUGAGGCUGGAGGAUCGCUUGAGUCCAGGAGUUCUGGGCUGUCAUGCGCUAUGCCAAUCAGGUGUCCACACUAAGUUUGGCAUCAAUAUGGUGACCUCCCGGGAGCGGGGGACCACCAGGUUGCCUAAGGAGGGGUGAACUGGCCCAGGUCGAAAGGAGAACGAACUCAAAUCUAGGCACUCUAAUAUGCAAUGCAGGCAUCCCAACUGGCUAAAUAGCUGAGCCAAAAACAUACCCCGUUAUCCUU
ensembl:misc_RNA Metazoa_SRP Metazoan signal recognition particle RNA